UACGUAGGGUGCGAGCGUUGUCCGGAAUUAUUGGGCGUAAAGAGCUCGUAGGCGGUGUGUCGCGUCGGUCGUGAAAACUUGGGGCUUAACCCUGAGCUUGCGGUCGAUACGGGCAUCACUGGAGUUCGGCAGGGGAGACUGGAAUUCCUGGUGUAGCGGUGAAAUGCGCAGAUAUCAGGAGGAACACCGGUGGCGAAGGCGGGUCUCUGGGCCGAUACUGACGCUGAGGCACGAAAGCCAGGGGAGCAAACAGG
rnacentral:rRNA from 1 species